GACGAACGCUGGCGGCGUGCUUAACACAUGCAAGUCGAACGGAAAGGCCCUGCUUUUGUGGGGUGCUCGAGUGGCGAACGGGUGAGUAACACGUGAGUAACCUGCCCUUGACUUUGGGAUAACUUCAGGAAACGGGGGCUAAUACCGGAUAGGACCUCUUGCGCCAUGGGGGGGGUUGGAAAGUUUCGGCGGUUGGGGAUGGACUCGCGGCUUAUCAGCUUGUUGGUGGGGUAGUGGCUUACCAAGGCUUUGACGGGUAGCCGGCCUGAGAGGGUGACCGGCCACAUUGGGACUGAGAUACGGCCCAGACUCCUACGGGAGGCAGCAGUGGGGAAUAUUGCACAAUGGGCGGAAGCCUGAUGCAGCAACGCCGCGUGCGGGAUGACGGCCUUCGGGUUGUAAACCGCUUUCGCCUGUGACGAAGCGUGAGUGACGGUAAUGGGUAAAGAAGCACCGGCUAACUACGUG
rnacentral:rRNA from 1 species